rnacentral:lncRNA from 1 species
UGAUGCUGUUUUUUAAUUGCAUUUGUAUAGGAACAGAGUUCAGAGAUACAGUGUGUGAUGACUGUCCUGCUGGUUCAUAUUCAGAUGGUACAUUCUGCAAAUUGCAUACAAACUGUGCAUCUCUUGACAAAAUAACAAUCAAGGAAGGAACAGAUAGGACUGAUGCUGAGUGCAGUAACAGAGCACCUUCUUAUUUACUGCCACUGAUUCUGUGUGUGUGUGGAGUGUGUUCGCUGUUGCUUAUUGUCAUAAUUGUAAAGAAAAAAAUUAAGCAAAAAAGUGGAUUAAAUCGAGUUACAACCCAAGAUUUAGACCUGUAAACUUUGUUUUUAAUCAUGCAAUGUUUUUAAAUAGUAAUUACUGUUUCUACUAUAUAUUUUAUAUUUUUUCAUGAGCACCAAAAUCAAUCUGGUCCUCCCUCUAACCAAGUUAUUUGCUCUCUUGGCUAAUGUUUAUAGAUUAAACUUGUAUAAAUGCCAGGCAAAAGUUGCAUAGAUCCCCCAGCAGAUCUUUGAUCAAAGAUUCAGUCAUGUUUAGUGGACUUUUUUGGGACAAGCUGCACUGGGUACCAAAAGUGUAUUGAACCGUCCUAAAGAAGAAGAAGGAGGACUUGGACUGGUGCAUCUACAAACAUUCAGUUCAUACAAAGACUUUUAACAGGCUCAGAGAACCCAAACCGCUACACUGAGAGGGGUUGAAGGACUAGGAUUGGAUAGAGCCUCACUGUGAUCCUCAGAAGCUGAAACUCUCCAAGUUUCCUGUUUUUUAUCAAAUCUUUUUAAAGUGUGGGCCUUGUUCAAGAUUCCAAAGAAGAGGACUGUGAACACUUUGUUCUGGCUGUGGAACGAGGCGUUUAUUUUGGGCUCAUGUUUGGCCUUGUCCAGUGAACUGAGUUACUUUGUGACGGAAGAUAAUCUUCUCAACUCUGGAGCUAACUUUAUAGAUGUGAGUUCAGAGACUGAGAAGCUGUGGAAGAGAUCUACUCGUUUGGUCACCAGAGCACUUGACGAGUGGAGGACCGCUUUGUCUGAAAAAUAACUAAAAUUGUUAUUGGAUUACUCACUGGGUCUUAUUAAUCCAGAUUGUACCGAUUCUUCUCCCGAGUUAUAUUUAACUCCCAUAAUGGACAAUUGUGGAGGCUGUUUCUUAGAGGUUAACAAUUUGAUUGUGAUGAGUUCAGAUGUUACUUCUGGAAAGGUCUGUUACAAAAUCUGUGUUAAAAUCUUUAAUAAGAAGACCUUGGAUUAAAAAAUUGAUCCUCCUUGGCGUGGUAUGCUUCAUUUGAAAGAGAGUGAAAAACCUGAGUGGAGAGUAUUGUAUAAGUCACCAUUAUCUAAGAGAAUUGGAGAUGUUGUUAUUGCAGUGAACACUUUUGUUUCUGUUAUUAACCUGAAUAUGGAUCAAAACUGUUCUUUUUGUUCACAAAAGGAAACUGUCUUCUAUGCAUUUAUGCAGAGUUCAAGACUGAC